rnacentral:ncRNA from 1 species
ACUAUCCUUUUCUUGGGGUUGUGCUACUGUCCUUUGAGCACAUAGGGAGGGCAGUACUGCUAGCACCCAUAAAAAAUUCUUUCUUCUGCUUGGUCUAAUCUACUCUUGAAAAU